ACUCACUCCUGUAGACCAGGCUGUCCCGGAUGGACUCAGAGCUCCACCUCCCUGUGCCUCCCGAGUCACGGGAUUUAAAGGUGUGGGCCACCACCUCCUGGCCUGAGAACACCUUUUGAGUCUUCCUUUUUUGUACUGUGGGUUUGGGGCAUUAGGCUAAGGUUAUGAUAUUGUGCGGCAAACACUUUUGCCCACCGAGACAUCACCCUGCUGGCACACUGGACGCUUUUAUUAAGUGCCACUGAAAGUAUCCACCAUGAGGUAUGAUCUCUUACCUGUUGGGGCCUGACCAGUUGAAGGCUGUGUGGAAUCAUUAAUAUGGGGGGUAGUUUGUCCCCCACUUCACCGCAGUCUCACAAUGCUUUGGCAACUGUUUGGUGGAUUUUUGUGGAAUGAAAGAUAGUAUCUGAACUGCAGCCCCUUGUAACACAAUAAGUAAAAAACCCAGAGACUGGCAUUGCGGUUCAAGCUUUCAGCUGAAGAUCAGAGAAACAAGGCAGCCGGCUACCAGCUCUCACCUCUCCCUCAGCUCAGACCAAAGGGGCGAUCCUCACACUGCUCCCGACUUCACUGCUCCUCGGAUUCACUCGGACUGCUGUGCUCUGCUCAGCGUGGCUUGAGACUCAAUGCCUGAUAUGGAACACUGAAGACCCUGCUCAUAUCUAUCUUUUAUACCUCUCUAGUGCUGGGACUAAAGGCGUGUGAUCCCAGGUGCUGAGAUCACCUUUGCGUGAGCCGUUUUUUUAGGACUGGACCAAUCUUGUGUACUCAGCGUGGCCUUGAACUAACAGAGGUCCGUCUACCUCUUAUUCCUGAGCCCUGGGGUUAAAGGUGUGCACCACCACCGCCUAGUUUCCAUGGUUAACUACUGUGACUGGCUUUGCAUCUUCAACCCUCAGCUUAUAUAUCCCAACAGAAUAAGAGAAAAACAAGCAACCCAGAUGAGCCGAGUAUUUUUCCACCGCCGAACUGGAAGCCGGAAAGAGCCUGUUUUUUUUGUUUUUGUUUUUGUUUUUAACCUGUCUUGGAAUCACUUUCCUUGUGUGCCUCCUGUUCCUCUGUCUCUCUUAUGUUUCUACAAGAACUCUUGUAGUUGGAGUCUGGCUCCCUCAGGGCAUCUGAGAUGAUUUCAUCUGGAUAGCCGAGUUGUAUCUUUGAGGACCCUUGCUCAGUUAAGGCCCUGCUUUCAAGUUUCAGGGGGACAUUCCUUCUGGGGGGGACAUACACACUCUUGUUGCCCACUACGCCUCCCUUAGUGCAGUGAGGGUACGGACUGUGGCAUCCGAUAGUCUUGGUUGGUAACAACUGAGCUGUAGAACAAGACGCCAUGCAGAGCUGAUUUUGUUUUGUCCGUGAAACUCCCUCUGUCUCAUGCCCCACCUUUUAACAAGCCAAAGGUUACAUUCACAGUACAAAGUUGCAUCCUAAGUGACUUUUCAGGGGGAACGGAGAGAAGGUUAGAAAAGAGAAGGGAAGGAGGAAGGGGAGAGGCAGGGAAGGAAGGAGUCAGAAGUAGUCCAAAGGAGUCACAGCGUCACACACAGUGUCUUGUUUUCUUUUUCUGCUGCUGAGAUGAAACUGACACAGAUAAAUCGGUCUCACUUCAGGUCACUUGACUACAGAGAGGAGACCCUUGAUUUUCAGGGCUUCGGUUGAUUUAGGAAUCGCCGCUAAUGGUUGCGAGCCAGAGGCUCAUAAAAGAAAGGCUGGGGCAGAUCACAGAAGCUGGAAAAAGAGAAGACAGCCUCCCCACCCCCAGCACGUUCAUCAUAAUCUCGGGCAUUUAAUUAAAGUUUGUUUCCUAUCCCAGGAACUACGCUUGAGUACUGUCCCACAUAACACAUCACACAAACAAUGUACGGUAGCAUACACGCAGCCCCAGAUCUCAGGAGACCAGGGGGGUUCAAGGUACAGCUCAGCUCAAUAGCAAGUAUGAGGCUACCCUGGGUUAUACAGGACCCUGUCUCAAAAGAAAAAUGAAAGAAUCUGGAUUUUCAAAGGAGUUUUGCCCUUUCUAUCCUUUGGGAAUGACUUAAUAUAUUUUACUGGAUGCAAACGUGGACGUUUCCUCACAUAAGCUGGUUAGCAUUGUGGGGGGAAAGGCCUUUGCUAAAGCGAAGAUACAUGUGUCUUGACGUUUGAACUAGCCAAGUGAAGACCGUUCUUGAGACAUGAAGCAGCCAGAGAAAGGGCUUCACCACGUCAGAGCCACCAGGUCAUGUGUGAUCUGGGAAGGGCAGGUUCCCACAGAGCAGGGCUGGGUCGCAGUAGAGGGAAGGGGGCCACAUUAUCCCCCAUGACACCCUAUGUAAGCGUCUUAUCUAACGCCCAGCUGCUAGAAUCAGAACCUCUUCAAAGGGUGCAGUAUGCGAAGAGUUCAUUCUAAGAGGCUUGGGGGGGGAGGGGCAUCGUCACGGUGAGUACCCGUGGCUGUGUCAGAGGAGCAAGGGGUGGCAUCUGAAGGUCAAGGUGUCAGCCCACCAGGAGGAAACUCUCUGAUGGGUCAGUCUCACACAGGCAAGACCACAGACCCUGGGAUGUCUUUUGCUUCUGCUGUGCCUUUACAUGUUUCCUGCCGCCAUCUUUCUCUGGUGUCUGGCAGGUGUGAUUGGGUGUGGAGAGACCCCCCCCCCCACUGCCUGUAAUGUAGUAGUGUGUUUAUCUCACAGGAACAUCCUGUUCUACUGGGCAUUUUUUUAACCUGUGGAUUACUAUGAAGAUGAUUUACCCUUACGUUGUACUGUCUAACUGAUAAUAAUAAUAAUAGUGCUAGUUGAAGUAGAGUUUUUGAUUACAAAAAUAAAACAAGGAAAUGUCACACCGCUACUGACACACUGGGUUUCUGUUGAGGAGUCAUGCAGUUAAUGAUUAGGAGAAAUAAUCGAGUCCCGGUAGCCCAGCUAACUUAGAUUCUCUCAACCUUAAUGUUGGGGGAUGUGUUCACAGGUUUCGGAGUGAGUGACUGCUGAACCAAAGCUUUAAAAAUAGCUUAUAAAGUUAGACUUCGAUGUUUUCGUCACAUAACUUUGAGGUUAAAAAAAAAAACCAAGAAGACAAUCUUGUGGAACUCUUUAAGGUCAGGGGACAAGAAUAAAGCACCCCCAUUUAUUACUAUUUGACUCACUUUUCUCGCUAGGGUUGGUUAAUGACCAAAGGUGGUGAUUAAUUCCUAAUCCACUUUUGUCCUCAAUCUCCUGAUAUAAAAAACUAUUGAUGAGUGGAUACUUACCCUAAAGAUUUAAAGUAGAGUGGAGUGAUUCUUUUUUCAUAAAUGAAGGCUUAGGUGUGGUUCCUUAUAAGAUUACCUUUUGAGAUAAGUAAUAACGUAACUGGCCCUUUCUUUGGGACUACAGACCGGACUGAGAAGAGCACCUUGCUUGCCCACAUGGUUAAUCUAUAACAAGUUGCUUGGGUAUAAAUGUACAUAGGUUCUUGGGAUAAUUUGUUUUUCCACCUGUACCACAUAAAAUGUUUAAUCAUGUAAAGGAUAUGGGAAACAUGCUGUUUUUUUUUCUCUUUGCUUUGUGUUCAUUGUAAUCAUUCACUUGAAAAGCAAUGUAAUCACAUUGUUUUUCCUGUAUUGUCUGAAAAACUUUGUUGGGGUAUAUAAGCUGUAGGAAAAAGUAUACCGUAGAGAGAACACAAAAAAGAACCGAGAAGAAUAGAAAAUAAAGAAGGAAGCCAUCAA